GGGACGGUAGCUCAGCUGGUAGAGCGCUAGACUGAAGAUCUAGUUGUCGCGUGUUCAAGUCACGCCCGUCCCACCA
rnacentral:tRNA from 1 species